rnacentral:rRNA from 1 species
GGUCGACGAUUCCUACGGGAGGCAGCAGUGGGGAAUAUUGCACAAUGGGCGCAAGCCUGAUGCAGCCAUGCCGCGUGUAUGAAGAAGGCCUUCGGGUUGUAAAGUACUUUCAGUAGGGAGGAAGGUUCAUGCGUUAAUAGCGUAUGGAUUUGACGUUACCUACAGAAGAAGCACCGGCUAACUCCGUG